AUAACGGAGAAAAGAAACCAACAGGGAUUGCCUCAGUAACGGCGAGUGAAGCGGCAACAGCUCAAAUUUGAAAUCUGGCCCCUUCGGGGUCCGAGUUGUAAUUUGCAGAGGGUGCUUUUGGUGUUGGCCGUGGUCUAAGUUCCUUGGAACAGGACGUCACAGAGGGUGAGAAUCCCGUACGUGGCCGCCGGCCCUCGCCUUGUAAAGCCCCUUCGACGAGUCGAGUUGUUUGGGAAUGCAGCUCUAAAUGGGAGGUAAAUUUCUUCUAAAGCUAAAUACCCGCCAGAGACCGAUAGCGCACAAGUAGAGUGAUCGAAAGAUGAAAAGCACUUUGGAAAGAGAGUGAAAAAGCACGUGAAAUUGUUGAAAGGGAAGCGCUUGCGGCCAGACGUGCCCGCGGUUGUUCAUCUGGGCUCUCGCCCGGUGCACUCCUCCGCGGGCAGGCCAGCAUCAGUUUGGGCGGUCGGACAAAGGUCUCUAUCACGUACCACCCCUCGGGGUGGCCUUAUAGGGGAGACGCAACACGGCCAGCCUGGACUGAGGUUCCGCGCAUCUGCUAGGAUGCUGGCGUAAUGGCAGCAAGCGGCCCGUCUUGAAACACGGACCAAGGAGUCUAACAUCUAUGCGAGUGUUUGGGUGUCAAGCCCGAGCGCGUAAUGAAAGUGAACGGAGGUGGGAACCCCUCGGGGCGCACCAUCGACCGAUCCUGAUGUCUUCGGAUGGAUUUGAGUAAGAGCAUAGCUGUUGGGACCCGAAAGAUGGUGAACUAUGCCUGAAUAGGGUGAAGCCAGAGGAAACUCUGGUGGAGGCUCGCAGCGGUUCUGACGUGCAAAUCGAUCGUCAAAUUUGGGCAUAGGGGCGAAA
rnacentral:rRNA from 1 species